rnacentral:rRNA from 1 species
GACGAACGCUGGCGGCGUGCCUAAUACAUGCAAGUCGAGCGGACUGAAUGGGAGCUUGCUCUUGUUCGGUCAGCGGCGGACGGGUGAGUAACACGUGGGCAACCUGCCCGCAAGACCGGGAUAACUCCGGGAAACCGGAGCUAAUACCGGAUAACACCGAAGACCGCAUGGUCUUUGGUUGAAAGGCGGCGCAAGCUGCCACUUGCGGAUGGGCCCGCGGCGCAUUAGCUAGUUGGUGAGGUAACGGCUCACCAAGGCGACGAUGCGUAGCCGGCCUGAGAGGGUGACCGGCCACACUGGGACUGAGACACGGCCCAGACUCCUACGGGAGGCAGCAGUAGUGAAUCUUCCGCAAUGGGCGAAAGCCUGACGGAGCGACGCCGCGUGAGCGAAGAAGGCCUUCGGGUCGGAAAGCUCUGUUGUGAGGGACGAAGGAGCGCCGUUUGAAGAAGGCGGCGCGGUGACGGUACCUCACGAGGAAGCCCCGGCUAACUACGUG